rnacentral:rRNA from 1 species
GUAGGUGGCAAGCGUUGUCCGGAAUUAUUGGGCGUAAAGCGCGCGCAGGGUGGUUCUUUAAGUCUGAUGUGAAAGCCCCCGGGCUCAACCGGGGAGGGUCAUUGGAAACUGGGGAACUUGAGUGCAGGAGAGGAAAGUGGAAUUCCACGUGUAGCGGUGAAAUGCGUAGAUAUGUGGGGGAACACCAGUGGCGAAGGCGACUUUCUGGCCUGUAACUGACACUGAGGCGCGAAAGCGUGGGGAGCAAACAGGAUUAGAUACCCUGGUAGUCCACGCCGUAAACGAUGAGUGCUAAGUGUUGGGGGGUUUCCGCCCCUCAGUGCUGCAGCUAACGCAUUAAGCACUCCGCCUGGGGAGUACGGUCGCAAGACUG